rnacentral:rRNA from 1 species
GUGCCAGACUCCUACGGGAGGCAGCAGUGGGGGAUAUUGCACAAUGGGGGGAACCCUGAUGCAGCGACGCCGCGUGGGUGAAGGAGCGUUUCGGCGCGUAAAGCCCUAUCGGCAGGGAAGAAGGAGGACGGUACCUGACUAAGAAGCCCCGGCUAACUACGUGCCAGCAGCCGCGGCAAUACGUAGGUGGCAAGCGUUAUCCGGAUUUACUGGGUGUAAAGGGGGCGUAGACGGCGAUGCAAGUCUGAAGUGAAAGGCGGGGGCCCAACCCCCGGACUGCUUUGGAAACUGUAUGGCUGGAGUGCAGGAGAGGUAAGUGGAAUUCCUAGUGUAGCGGUGAAAUGCGUAGAUAUUAGGAGGAACACCAGUGGCGAGGGCGGCCUGCUGGACGACAACUGACGGUGAGGCGCGAAAGCGUGGGGAGCAAACAGGAUUAGAUACCCGUGUACA